rnacentral:rRNA from 1 species
AUUGAACGCUGGCGGCAUGCUUUACACAUGCAAGUCGAGCGGCAGCAGGGGGGUAACCCUGGUGGCGAGCGGCGAACGGGUGAGUAAUACCUAGGAACAUGCCUAGUAGUGGGGGAUAACACCUGGAAAGAAGUGCUAAUACCGCAUACGUCCUGAGGGGGAAAGCGGGGGAUCGCAAGACCUCGCGCGAUCGGAGUAGCCGAGGUCGGAUUAGCUAGUUGGUGGGGUAAAGGCCUACCAAGGCAACGAUCUGUAGCUGGUCUGAGAGGAUGAUCAGUCACACUGGAACUGAGACACGGCCCAGACUCCUACGGGAGGCAGCAGUGGGGAAUAUUGGACAAUGGGGGCAAGCCUGAUCCAGCCAUGCCGCGUGUGUGAAGAAGGCCUUCGGAUUGUAAAGCUCUUUAGGCAGGAAGGAAACGGAGAAAGCUAACACAGCGCUGUAAUGACGGUACCAGAAGAAGAAGCACCGGCUAACUUCGUG